AGCUUGCUCACCCAUAGAAGCUUGACGAGGAUCGCCACCUCCAUAUGAAAAUGUGGCUACAACAACAACUAUAUUACAAAUUGCUGUUUCUAUGCUACGAUGGAAGAAGACUUUGCUUUCAAGAGAGAGAGAGAGAGAGAGAGUUUCCGUACAGUCAAUCUCAGUGUACUUAAGGACUGAAUGUCAUCGAGUUUUGACUGCUGAUUUAUACCCGCUAUUGUGUACCCUCUCAGUAAUGUUAACGCCACCUGACUUAUGAUAGUCUUGAUUAGAUCUCCCCUUAUUAUUCAGAAGCAAAUAGACAAAAUUAACAAGGUGGAUCUUGACAAACCACGGCAUUAUAAUUUUUUUAGAUAUAUUAAUAAAAUAAAGCUUAUCAAAAUUUUCCCUGUGCACACCGAAUAGUUGGGUCCGAUUAGGUUUCUCAAUGAAGAAAAUAACAGGUAGAUACAACAUAAUAUUUGUGUUUUUCAAUUUUGUUUUAUUUAAAUACUUUUUGUUUGUAUUUUGUUUUUUUUUCUUCUUUGUUUUUAUAGCUACAGAUAUAACGUCUAAUGCUUAAUUAAUGGUUUUGUGUUUACUUUUUUGUAUUUUUUCAGUUUUUUCAUUAAUUGUUUAUGGUUAAAUUAUACAUACUUUUUUAAAUAAUAUAUAUAAAAAAGAUGACUUAAAAAUAUAUAUAUAUAGAGCGAAAAAGAAAAAUCUUAUGUGAUUCUGCCUUUCUUUUGUC
rnacentral:sRNA from 1 species